rnacentral:rRNA from 1 species
CGGAGGGUGCGAGCGUUGUCCGGAAUCACUGGGCGUAAAGGGCGCGUAGGUGGCCUGUGGAAGUCUGCGGUGAAAGCCCGGCGCUCAACGCCGGGUCGGCCGUGGAUACUCUCGGGCUCGAGCUUACUAGAGGCAGAUGGAAUUCCGGGUGUAGCGGUGGAAUGCGUAGAGAUCCGGAAGAACACCGGUGGCGAAGGCGGUCUGCUGGGGUAAUGCUGACACUGAUGCGCGACAGCGUGGGGAGCAAACAGGAUUAGAUACCCUGGUAGUCCACGCCGUAAACGAUGGGCACUAGAUGCUUGGGGGAGCGAUCCCCUGAGUGUCGUCGCUAACGCAUUAAGUGCCCCGCCUGGGGAGUACGGCCGCAAGGCUG